ensembl:lncRNA
AUGAAAUUUUUUAAUUAUAAAAGUGGAUUUUACUUUUAUAAUAAGGAUCAACGUAAAGAAACUUAUUAUUUUAACUUAUUAAUGAAUAGUAAGGAUGUGAAUCAUGGGGUUGAAUCUUUACCUUGUCUUUAUUUGUAUCAUCAUAAGUAUUAUCAGUUUGUUGAAAUUGGAAAAAAUAUAACAGGAGUUAGUGAUAGAAAUGUGGUUAGUGAUAGAAAUGUGGUUAGUGAUAGAAACGUGGUUAGUGACAGAAACGUGACAAAUGAUUUAGUAAGCCCAUUGAAUGGAAAAAAUAAUAAAACCUUAGAUACCACUCCUAAUGACAGUAGCGAUGAUAACGAUAACAAUAGCAACUUUAUAGACAUACAAAAAAAUGAACCCAUUUUUUUUUAUACUGAUGAUAGACUAAGCUCAGAUGACGAAGAUGACCGAGUUAAAAAAAAACAAAUAAAUGAUAUUUAUAUAUUACAACGAAAUUUAUAUAUUAUUCAAGAUUUUAAAAAACAUUUUAAUUUGUCUAUACUUACAAAAAUGGAAAACAUGACUAUAGACAUGUUUCAUAAUUACAAUUUGAAUUUGCUUUUGAUCAAUAAAUUUAUCAGUAUAAAACCUAGCGAUAAAAAUGGAGAAUACACAACGGACCUUAAUAAUGUCACCAACAGUUACGACAUUGUUAGUACUGCUAUAGACCAUACUAAACACAACAGCAACGGUAACGACAACGACAACGACAACGACAAUUGCUAUAACGAGCUGAUAGAUACGAGUAUGAAAAAUAUAAAUAUACAACUAUCAAUUACAGUUUUAAGUUUAGAAUAUUGGAAAUUUGAAAACAUAAAUGAAGAGGAACCGAUACCAACAUUUUUUAUACCUAACAGUAUACAAAUAUAUUUUAAUAUUUUAAAUGAUAUAUAUCAAAAAUAUAACAAUAAUAAUGAUAAGUACUUAAUAUUUUUAUAUGAUUUUUGUUUCAUAGAUUUAAUAAUUAAUGAUUUUUUAAUUACUCUAAAAUUAUCUGAAGGGUUACUUUUUUAUUUUUUAAAUAAUUUAGAAGAGGCUAUAAUAAAUGUAUAUAAAAAUAAUUUAUUAAAUACGAAUAAUAUCAAUUCUCCUAUUAAAUAUAAUUAUAGCUAUUUAUUUAUUUCUUCCAAUUAUAAAUCGAAUCAACAAAAUAAAACCAUGCAUAUUGUAGUUGAUGAAAAUAUUGUUAUGUAUGACUUUCGAAUUAUUAAAAAUCUUGUUGAGCUUAAUCAUAAGAAUAGUAAAGCGAACAAAACGACUACUAAAAAGGAGUUAAUAAAAAAGAAGACCGGGUUAGAAAACGUACCGAGUGUGGCAAAUGUGGCAGACUUGGCAAACGUGGCAGACUUGGCAAACGUGGCAGACUUGGCAAACGUGGUAGACUUGGCAAACGUGGCAGACUUGGCAAACGUGGCAAGUGUGGCAGGCGUGGCAGACGUAUCAAGAGUGAUAGAAGCCACAGACGUAACUGACUUACCAGUUAUUCUCCCCUCUAACAAUAUAUGCCUUGACAGUAACACCAAUUUGAAGGAAGAAACUUGUACAGAUGAUAAACUAUAUACAACCAACUUAAAAAAAAAGAAUACUUCCUUUGAAAAUAAAAAUAUACCUAAUAUAUUUUCUUCAACAAAAAUAAUAUCAAAAGAAAACAUUUA